rnacentral:misc_RNA from 1 species
UAAUAAAAGUGUUUUAUGGCACUUUUCAAACAAAUCCAUAUCCACCUUGUGUGCAAUGUUUUUUUUUUUUUUUUAAAUAAACACUUUAUUUUUUAAUUGCCAAUUUAUCUGAAGAUCAGUAUUAUUAUGAAUUAACUUAAUUCAAAAUA